rnacentral:rRNA from 1 species
UACGAAGGUCCCAAGCGUUAUCCGGAUUUAUUGGGUUUAAAGGGUGCGUAGGCGGGUUAUUAAGUCAGUGGUGAAAGCUCCUAGCUCAACUGGGAAAUUGCCAUUGAUACUGAUGAUCUUGAGUAUGAUUGAGGUUGGCGGAAUGUGUCAUGUAGCGGUGAAAUGCUUAGAUAUGACACAGAACACCGAUUGCGAAGGCAGCUAACUAAGUCAUAACUGACGCUGAUGCACGAAAGCGUGGGGAGCAAACAGG